rnacentral:rRNA from 1 species
GUCCACGCCGUAACGAUGUCUACUAGCCGUUGGGUUCCUUGAGGACUUAGUGGCGCAGCUAACGCAAUAAGUAGACCGCCUGGGGAGUACGGUCGCAAGAUUAAACUCAAAUGAAUUGACGGGGCCCGCACAAGCGGUGGAGCAUGUGGUUUAAUUCGACGCAACGCGAAGAACCUUACCAGGUCUUGACAUCCAGAGAAUUUUCCAGAGAUGGAUUAGUGCCUUCGGGAGCUCUGAGACAGGUGCUGCAUGGCUGUCGU